UACGGACUGUACAGCCCCAUACAGUGGGGAAAAAUAGAAGCUGUGUAACCCCAGAGACCAGGAGGUGGACUACAGAUAAAUCUGCAAAGAUAAGUAAAAGGAUGUGUUGAAGACAGCGGGAUAAAGAGAGAACUAGGGAGCGAGGCUGGAGUCAUCCUGAUAGAUACAGCAGCAAGAGUGAUUUAGGCUGCUGGGAAGGAUCCAAUGAGAAUUCAAGAGGCCACCGCUUCGGAAAUCCUGCUCUGAUCUUCCCACUCUCGGUUCUUUAAGAGUUACCUGCGUUGGGAACAUGUUCAUUAGGAUUAAUAGUAUUCCAUCAGUGCAUUUCACUAGGAUUUCCUUUGAACCCUCUCCCUUGCAGCAACCGAGGGAGGCGUAGUAAGGAACCCAACACAACCAAGCCCCCCAAUAACCACCGUGGUCACUUUAGGAUGACCAGAUCAUCCGCGAUUUGCAUUGGGGGCUGAAGACGCAGAGGAGGCCGGGUCGCCUGGCCCUUUCGGGGGCGCUGUGCCGGGAGACUUAGGCACGGGGCCAGGGAACUGGCGGGUGGAAGCGGCAGCGGCGGCGGCAGGAGCCCUCCCAGGUCCUGCUUCCUCGGCGAAGGCUGCUUCCCCGGGACUCCAGGCAAUUGACUUCCCUUCGAAACCUCAGCUCUAAACGCCUCGCUUUAGAAGCUAGAGCUUUGGAGGUUCUGACGACCGUCCCUGGGGGAGCAGGUGGCAGGCUGUGAGACUCCCGCGUCACCUCUUAUACCUAAACAAUUGCGUAGGGAGACGGUGCCAGAAAUGGCUUUGCUGCCGAAUGCAUUAUCUUGCCUUUUUCAUAGCCCGAUACAGCACAAACGAUCGCCUGAUCGAUCGGAAAUAGGAGGAAAAGGUAGAGUGGAAAUUGAUUUCUUGCAGAGACUGAGGCGCCGAAUGAUAGAGGGAAUAAACAUUUCCCCCGGAUAAAAAUGUUCUUGGAGAGUAGUAGCUUGUAAGGGUGAAUUUGAAGAAACGGGCUUUAAGCAGGCAACGUGAAGGCUUUAAGGUCCUAAAUUUCCUACGUUCACAAUCCAGACACAGAUAAAGAUGAUGCCUGCUUGCUUGCUAAAUGGGUAAAUAUCUCCCUUAUUUCUUACUCUCUUUCCUUUCUGAAAAUAAAAUAGUUUGGGGUCAUAGCCCCGUGUCUGUGCCCCCUUCACCAUGUUCUAAAAUAUAUAUAUUUUUUCAGUUUCAGAUAUGAGAACGUGUAUUUUUCACAUUUUUGGCCAGGAAAGUUAAAGUCAUAGAAACGUCUUACUAGUGUGUACACCCUCUGUCCAAUUCUUGCACCAGAAACAAAUUCAUGGCGACCGAAGUAGGUAUUUGCAUGUCGAGGUGAUACCUAUGAAUUCAUCAAGCCCUCUGGCUUCCGUGAGUCUGCAGCACCCCCAGGCUGCACACGCUCAUUCUGUGGAGAAUGGGUAGGUGUUGGAGUGGGAAGGAGCUAAAGGGCUCUUGAUUGUGCUGACAUCCUAUGUCACUAGGUGCGCAGAAUAACAAAGAUUGCAAAUUCUGUGAACUUGGUUUUUCAAGUGUAAGCUGACCGUUUUGGAUGUGAACAAUUAAAAGAGACUUCCUCUAAGAGAAACCAUUGCAAUUUUGAGUUAUAGAAUAUAUUUUACUAGUGAACUAUUCAUAUUCAUUUUUUUCCUCCGUUGUCAUUCUUUCCACUGUCAAUUCCUUAUCCCCAAAUUUUAAUGCUAAUUGUCAUAAAAUGUAUUCAGGAUGCCCUCAGCCUCAUCUGAAAUAUCUGAUCUUAAAAUUCCAUUGAUAAGAUGGUAAGAAUAGACUUUAUUUCAGAUAAUCAAUUUUCUAGAAAGCACCAAUAUAAAAUCCUAGAAGAGAGAUAGCCAAGUGGGAUAUUACAAUAGUAAGGCGCACCGUGCAGGUGUGCAAAUCUGUAGUCAUCAUUACUAUCAAACUUGGUAAGGGAAAAAAUUUCACUAAGGAUAUGUUUGUAUAACUUUUUUUUUCUUUCUCUCCUCAGGCUGUAUUCCAUUCCUAAUGAUGUCCUGGAACAGAAGGUUUUCUUAAGUCAUCUCAUUUUACCAAAAGGAUGAUUUCUGUGUGUGUCCAAGUGUUUUAGACAUAUGUUGCUGGGGGGAUCUGAGGUCCACACAAGGAGGAUGAAUAUCCUGAAUUACAUUCAUUACAAACACAAACAUAACAUUUGUGGCAGAAAGAGAGCAUACUUUUCAUAUAAAAAUUCCAAUAUGCUUCCUAAACCUACUUACCUAAUUUGUUAUUCAAGGAAAUAGAUUUAUUUGUUGAGGACCCAACUUAAAUUAGAAAAUGUAACAUUAGCAUUUUUAGCAUAUAUGUGAAAUAAAUGUGAGGUUGAUUUUAAAUAUUUGGAGAAAAACAGGACAGGAUAAAAAAUAUUAAUUUUGUGACCCAUUGUUCCUUAACCUUAAAAUAGUUUAUAGCACUUUAAUAAUGUAUUUUAACAUUAUAUUAAAUCAUAUGAUUAUAUUUGAUCAACCCCCAAAUAGAGCCAUAGGCUUUAUAUCUCCUAGCUGGUUUUUACUUUAAGUACAAUUCAGGUUUGAACUUAUUUUCAAACUUAUGUACUCAUAAGUUAUGCAUUUUAAUUUUAUGUUGAGCAUGUCUUUUCCUGGAUAAUCUCCAGGCACAUCUGCAGUUGGUAUUUUAGCAAGUUUUGUAUUACAGGUAAUGUUUUUGUCUGCUCUUCUGGCUCCAUCUUCUUUUGAAAUAUACAGGUACCACCUAAUGUAUUUCUUACCUAUUAAUCCACUAAAAUUUCCAAUCUAAAAGCAACAUCCAAGAUAUGUUGAAUUAGAGAAGUGAAUUAGUGAAGCAAGUUGCUUGUGAAGAUUAUUUUAACCUGAAAUCAAAUUUACAACAAAAAUGGGUUAUAAUAAGUACAUUCAAACUGUUCCUCAUAUACAAAAGUCAUACAUAACACGCAUUUAUGCAUAUAUAAUUGCCCUCAUUAGAAUAUUUACAUUUAUUCCUUUUAGUCUCUUUGUUAUGUGAUUAUUUUGGUUUUAGAGUUUUCUCUUUGAAAGUGUCUAAAACUUCUUAAAUACUUAAGUGUGCAAGCAUCUUCACGUCUCACUUCAUGAGAUUGUAACCAAGCAGGACCCUGCAAGGCCUUCUCAGAAUAGAUACACACCCAUGUCCUGCACCUGUGUUUUGUCUGUAGAAAAACUUUAGUCAAAGAAUAAAUUUAAUCAGAGAAGUCAGAAAAUGCAGAAAGAAAGGAAAACAGUCAAGCAAGAUAAAAUAAUAAUACUUUAGCCUUUAAACAAAUUCAAGGACUUUUAGUUCUUAAUCAAGGACUGUAGAUAAUAUUCUGAGCCAUGUCCUUUGAGCUGUUUUGCAGAUACUGAAACCCCCGCCAGUAGGAGAAGUUAACUGUCUGCUGCCCACAAGCACGGAGACCCCAGACUGGUUGGAACCAGAAGGGUGAUGAUGUUGACUCCUGAUGACCUCACCACCAACCAAUCAGAAGAAUGUCCACAAGCUGACCAUGCCCUGCUCCCUGAACACUAUAAGACUCCUCACUACCCUCUCCAGGGCGGGACACACAGUCUUGAGGGCAUUAGCCAAGGCAAGAAAGCUGUUUCUUUCUACUUCACCCAAAACUCUGUCUCAGAGAUUUAAUCCAGCACAGGCGUACAGAGGCCGAAUUUCAGCAACAAGAUCAAUAUGCUGCUAAAUAAACUGACCAACAUAUUCAAAUCUCAAAAAAGUGUGUUGGAACUUGUAGGGACAUUAAAGAUAGUUUAGUCUAACUCCUUCAUUAUGAUUGAGAGAUUGAGAACCAGAGAGAUUAAGUGAUUAGUGUAAUCAUACACUAACUAGUAACCCAAGGAACUUUAAAUGUAGCUUUCCUAGCUUCUUAGCUAGUAUUCAUUCUAAAUCAAUUAAAUUCUAUUACUACCUGCUAAAACAAGUAGUGCUUCUGAGAUUGGGCGAAGUAAUAAAUGAAGAAGAGAGAGAGCAGUGCAGAGAUAAAUAAAUUGCAGUCUUUUCUGAGUUUUUUUGUUGAUAACACUCUUCAUUGUAGAAAACUUUUCUUUCCCUGCUGUGUUUUAUCCUCCCCUCCUCCCUCCACCCCUGCCCUCAAUGAUUGGAGAACAUUUCAUUAUGUAAUUUUACUUCCUCAGGAAAGAUUCUCAGUGUUCUUUUUGUUUGUGCCUUGGCUUGUUCCCUAGGCUAUUUUCAACCACACAGUACAACCUUAAACUGUAGAUAAUUCCAACCACCUGAAGAUCAUACUCCAUCAUGUCACCUCUGUGUUCUACUUUUUAAAUUUCCUACCAAUAUAGGAAUAGGACUGUAUCAAGAGGAACCCCAUCAUCUCAAAAUAAGCUGCUUAACUAGACCCUGACUUACAUCAGAAAUGACAAACUCACACACAUACACACAAUAUGAAAUAAAUGCAGAGACUAAGACAGUGCAUUGUUAAGAAAACAUCAUGCAAAAAAAAUAAAAUCCAUGUUCCAUUAAAAAUGGGCUAUCCUUAUUAGGAGAAAAGCUGCAAGACUUUAGCCAUUUAGGGGGUGUUCAAUUUUCUGCAGUGGCUGAAGCCGUAUCAGUCUUCAUUCUUUCAUAUACAUCAAUAUUUGAGUAUUACAUUCAAGUCAUAAGUUUUAGAAAUAGCAAACCUAAAAGACAAACAUAAACACUAAAAUCUAUUGGGAGUUAUUAUUACUUCAGAAGGGGUAUCAUUCCAGGAUUAAACAAGACGAGAGUAGAAUCAGAUUUAAACAUUAGAAUGUGCUCUUUAAUAUAAAAUUAAAUUUUUACACUAAUCUAGAAUAUUCCAAAAGAUGAAACACAUGUGAAGAAGAAUUUAUAUUGGUUAUUUUAUGUUUCAAGUCUUGAAAAAAAUCCACACUAAUCAAAACCUACUUGUUGAUAAAUAAAAAUAUCUAAUUGUUAAAGGGAAAGAUAAGUAAGUUCAUAGAAUUCUUUUAAAAGCCUUCUAUGGACCUGUUUCUUUAAAUAAAUUAUCUCAAUAUCAAAUUGUGCAUUUUGUUAUGAACAUUUCAUAUAUGACGUAACAGUCUCAAAGAGCUUAAUUAAUUUGCCAAACCAAGUAGAAUCAGAAUUGGAAGUCGGGGGACACACAGUUUUGAGGGCAUUAGCCCACUGUGGCCCCCUUUGCCUGCCAAAGCAAUAAAGCUAUUAUUUUCUACUUCAAAAAAAAAAAAAGAA